CUCGGAAGCUAAGCAGGGUCGGGCCUGGUUAGUAUCUUGGAUGGGAGACCCCCUGGGAAUCCCGGGUGCUCGAGG
rnacentral:rRNA from 1 species